rnacentral:lncRNA from 1 species
AUGCACAGGGUGUCUACAUGCAUGUGCAUAUACUCACUCGGAUGUAUGCAUACGUCUUCCUUGCAGAAUAUAGAAGCUGCCAUCAGCUUACUGCCUUUCCGAAGUGGGCCUGGAGGCCUGCAUGAAGUUUUAUCCAAACCCAUGUCGUGGCUGGUGGCUGUCCGGCGGGCAGCAGGGGCUCCGCGAGGGACCACCACAGUCAGCUGGGAGGGGACCGGCGGGAGCCUCCGUGCGCGCUGCCCCAGAAGGGACACACGGUGGCGCCCUCCCCCCGCAGGUCCCGCCUGGUCCCAGCCUCGGAGGGCGUCGGCUCCCGGAGGGAGGGAGAGGUGGGGACAGCUGCCUGGGCACCCAGAACACACACUUCUGGGCCCUGGGGACGGGAGGGUGGAAGACGCAGGGCUGGGGGCGUCCCUGCCCAAGAAAGCAGGACUGGAGGGGCUGGCAGCCCAGGAAGGAGGGAAAUGGGGAAACAGGUUCCAUCUGGAUUUUGUUUAGGAUCAGGUUGUGUGUUGAGUGGUGCCCCCCCCCCCCCAAGACAGGUCCGCCUGGACCUGUGAAUGGGACCAUAUUUAGAAAAAGAGUCUUUGCGGAUGUAAUUAAGAUACGGAUCUAGAGACGAUAUCAUCUUGGAUGAUCCAGAGGGGCCCGAAACCAAUGACAGGUGUCCUUGAGGGAAGACGCUGACCCGGAGAAGGUCACAGGGAAGCAGCAGAGGUUGAAGUGAUGCAGCCACAAGCCAAGGAAGCCACCAAGGAAGACAAAGUGGAAGAAGCAGGAACAGAUUCUCCCCUAGAGCCUUCUGAGGGAGCCCUGCCGGCCAGCACCUCGAUUUUAGAUUCCUGGCCUCCAGAACCAUCAGAGAAUAAAUUUCUGUUCUAAACCACCUAGUUUGUGUUCAUUCGUUAUAAUGGCCCCAGGAGACUCAGACAGGUGUUUAAAUUCUCUUCCUGCCACUCAACCCGCUGACCCCUGCCCCCGAGCCUGCAGGAUGGCACCUGAGACCCCCCAACUCCUGACCCCACUGUUUGCUCCCCAAAUCCAAACUCCACCAUACCCACUGCUUUCCAAACAUGGGCUCUUCACACCUCUACGCUUUUACUUUUGGUGGCCUGCCCCCACCAUGGGUCCCCUUGUACAACUUCUGUACACCCUACAAAGCCCUCCCUAAAUAUCCUCUCAUAAGUAUAUGCACAUAUUCUGGCUCCCAGCACAGCUGGACUCCUCUGUUCCCCUCAGCCACUGUGUCUACUCACUCACGAAUUAUCACUGUCAGGUCAGCUGUGUGUCCCCUAACUAGUCUUCAUCUCCCGGCCUCUCCAGCCCCCUAGCCUGCACCCUCUGUCCUAGCUCAGGCCUCCCCAUCUCUUCCCAGGACCCUUGUGCCACCUCCUCAGGUCCCCCUGCCCCAGGUGGAUCCUCCAGUUUAUCAAUACUCUUGAUGCUCAGAUCUAUCUUUUCACUCCUUGGCUCAAAAGCCUUCCAUAGCUCCCUGCUGCCCUAAGGAUGAUGUCCAUAGGGAAUGAAGUGCCUCAAAUGUGCCUCCCAACCUCUCACUGCACCCCAGUGAUAUCUAAGGUACCCAUAUGCUGCAUGCCUCUGGGUCUUGGCAUAGGCAGUGUCCUUCCCCUGGAGUGUCCCCUCCCCGUGUGCCAGGCACACUCUGACCCAUGUCUCAGGAGCUGUCUCCCACAGGACCCACCCUUCUGCAGUGACACCAGCCAUCUUUAGACACACAGGGUGCUGCUCUGAGUGCUUCACACGGGUUCACCCUGUGAGUCCUCAUAACAACCCCAGGAGAGAGGCCCCGUUACUGUGUCCAGGUCACAGGUGGGGAAACAGGCCCAGAUGGAAGAGGAACCCUUGAGAAGUGACAGAAGGAUCUGAGCCCAGCCUGCACUGUCAUUCCUCCUGUGGGAGCCUCAGAACUGUCGAACAAACCACUGAAGCCUCCCCUUAUCUGUACUGCAGCCUCCAACCCCAAAUUCAUUGCUAUCUCCUCUGUGGAUUCGGCACUUUGUAAACACCCCCCUCCCUGGGCUGAGCAGGAGCGACUGGAUUACACGGUGGUCUCCCCUCUGGGAAGCACCUGAAAAUCUUCUCUUUACUUCCCUCUAUCCAUGGUAACUGGCACAGCGUAAGGGGCUCCGUAAACCAGAAUGAAUGAGUGAACCAUUCUGAAUGACCCAAUGGUUUCCAGGGAUGUCAGGUCCUGGGAAUGUCUCACCCUCCUCAAAGACAAGAAUAAAUUAUGCAAAUCUCGGGAGCCAGACUUUUUGCCUUCUCUCUCCCACCCUCCCUCCUCCAAUCCUCCCCCCACCCCACCCCCACACACACACCAGGUUUCUGGGAGGGCACUGGGCUCUCCAGAAAAUGCCUCAGGCUCUCUAGUGGCCCGUUUCCUGAUUAUAGACGAAACUAGAGCUUAAAGCCGGGUGAAUCACUAGCAGCCACCAGCCAGGGCCUGUUGAGGUGUCAGGCAGGAAGGGAGAAACCAGGCUCCCCCAUCUUCCUCCCCGACCCCUGCCACCCCCAGCCCCACCAUCACCAUACGACCUCCUGGGGACCUCCGUGGUCUUGGCCGCAGUAGGUAGAAAGGGCCUGGCCCUGGACACAGGCAACUUUGAGCAGUUCCAGAACCAUCCCUGCUCCCCACACCCCCCACCUGGCCACACCCAGGUCCCAAAGAAUCCACAGCCUGAACAGUGUGCAAACCCUCUCCCAUCCCUGGUCUGGCAACUCAUUGAUGACACCCAGGGAGGUGCAGCACCCCCAUUUUAGAGGCAGGGAAGCCAGAACCUGGAGUUCUGACAACGGAGACCCCCCUGUUGGAAGUAAAGUAGCACACAGGAACCUGCAUGCAGCUUUCUGCCUCCUAGAGGGUUUUUUUUUUAAUUUUGUGAAGCAUACAGAUUUUUUUCUCUUAAAUAUUUUAUUUAUUUAUUCAUGAGAGACACAGAGAGAGAGGAAGGCAAGACAUAGGCAGAGGGAGAAGCAGGCUCCAUGCAGGGAGCCUGAUGUGGGACUCGACCCCGGGACGGUGGGAUCACGCCCUGAGCCGAAGGCAGAUGCUCAACCACUGAGCCACCCAGGCGUCCCUAGAGGGGUUUACAAGCAAGACCAGCCAUUUCUUGAUUCGAAGGUCAUAGCCUUAAAGGACAAAGGAGGGAAAAGUAUGGAUUCCCAGCUCCUACCCCAAGAGUCUAGAAGCAUCUUACCAAGUGUUCCAGGGGCUCGAGGCAGAGAUGAGGGAACCACAACCCAGUGGUUAAGAGCCCAAGUCCAGGCUCAAAUUCUAAGUCGACUCUGGCAAGUCACGGGGUUCUUGCAACCUUGGGCAAGUUUCUUAGCUCCUCGGUUUCCCCAUCAAUAAGAUGAGAGCAGCUGUAAGUACGUACACAUCCCAGGAUUGUUGUAAGGACCCUGAAUUGACGUAGAAAGGGCUGAGAACAGACAGUGCAUACUCUAUACAGUGGCUGUUUUUUAAAGUGUUAUUUUAAAGAAACUUUUCCCAAAGACAAUGCAUUUGGAGUGAAUCCUUGUCAUCAGAGAGGAAUGUUCCCCACACCUGUCUGGUAGAAGGCUCAGGCCUGGGGCCUCCUUAUAAAUCCAGAGACCUGUUCCACCCCAGACCUGCCAGGUCAGAGUCUGGGGGUGGGAAGCUAAUGCUUUUCAUAAGGGCCCCAGGGGUUCCUUGAAUCAGGCAAGUUCGGGAAUCCCAAAAGACUUGGGAAUUCAAGUCUUCUUUUAAAGAUUCUUCUGGUAACACACAUUCCACCCACCUGUCAACAGGUCCUGGGGGAAAACCAACUUUCUUCCCAUCUUCCCAAUUAGUAACAUUACUACUUGUAAACGGGGAUAAGCCCUCACUAGUGCCAGGUGCUUUGCUAAAUUAAUUCCAUCCAUCAACAGCCCUCUGAGGCAGUUUCUGUCUUUAACCCCAUUUUAUAGAGGCAGAAACUGAGGCCAGGAAAGUUAGUAACUUGCUCAUGGUCACACAGCUGGAACUUGGCAGAGCCAGGUUUCUAUUUGCCACCCCACUAUGGCCUGUGCCAGCAGCCCCAGCUCCUGCGGGACGUGCCUAGAUGCUCCAGGGCAGGUCUCUCAGGAGCCCACAGUCUUCUCCAGGCAGCUUCACAGAGCUACAGGCCAAGGUCCCAGUCCCUGUCCCGAGGACCUUCCCUUCACCGUGGCCACCAAACCACACCAAAUCCCGCUGGUUCCUUUACUGGACGCCACUCUGCCUCCUGGCCCAGGACAAAAGAGGGUGUCCUAGAGCCAAGGCAAGCCCAGGCAUCCCCCACACUAUCCUCUCUCCCAUCACUCCCUCACCUGCUCCUUUCUCCAGCCCCAUAAUGUCACUAGCACUUCUCUAGAAGUGCAGUGCCUUUGACCAGGCUGUUUUCCCAGGCCAGGCCCACCCUUUCCUGAUUAUAGGCUUCCAUGUUGGGAGGGCAGCCUCCUCUGAGAAGCCCUUCCUGACUGCUGCUCUGGGUGAGCUGGCUCCACAGUGCCCCCACUA